GCCCCCGUAGUUCAAUGGAUAGAACAAGGGUUUCCUAAACUCUAGAUUCAAGUUCGAUUCUUGACGGGGGCACCA
rnacentral:tRNA from 1 species